GCUGGAGAGGAGUCCUGAUGGGGAAGCAACAACAACAGCACUGCUGUGAAGAGCUGGUGUGAGAAAACCAGCUAGAGAAGGAUGUGAGGAAGGCAAGGUGUUAUACUGACAGCUCCUACUUGUUAAAAUGCAUCUAGGAUACUUCCAGAGGAAAAAAAAAAAAAUGGGAGGAGGGCACGGUGACACUUCUCCAUGCUCCCCCACUCCCUGACCCCAGGGCUGGGAAAAAAAGACUUUCUACUACCUUGGGAGCCAUUUCAGCAACACAAAACCAGAGAGCAGCAGGCACGAGGCAAGAGGGAGAGUUAACCCCAGCACACAGGGGCCUGUGCCAGAGACCAGGAGGAGGAGCAGGAGAUGGUGGUGGUGGUUUCAGCUGCACACUCACACCCUCUGGGUAUGGACACCAGGGCAGCAAAGCCAGAGGACAUCAAAGCUCAAUCCAAGCCAGUGGCCCCUGUGGCUUCCCCACACAAUGGGAAGGAUGCAAUGCAGCAGCUGCACUGCUGGGACAUCAGCUUUGUGGAGAGCAGCACAAACAUGCAGCACCCCCUCAUCUCCAACAUUAUUGCCCGGGAUACUAGGCUUGGGGAGUGCCAACAAUCAUUAGGCAUGCAGGAUUGUCACAAGCCAGCACCAAAAGGUGGGAGCAGCAAGCUGGAAGUUGUGUUGGUUUGUUUUGAAAAGGCCAGGGAAAGCUGGGCACUCUGUCUCUGCAGGUUUAAGGCUGCACUCUGAACCUGCUGGGGGGAAAGGCUAACAGGAUCUGAAAACCUGCUUUCUUUACCUCCAAGGACUGGAUC